rnacentral:tRNA from 1 species
GCCGAGAUGGCGGAACGGUAGACGCGCACGGUUCAGGACCGUGUCCGAUGAGGGUGGGGGUUCAAAUCCCCCUCUCGGCACCA